rnacentral:lncRNA from 1 species
UUGGUUUAUAGCAGUCUGUUUUUAGUAGUGGUAUUUUCACUUAUAGGAUAUAGUUACCAAUUGCUGAAAAUUAAAUGAACACUGGUGCACUUUUUUUUUUUUUUUUUUUUGGUAAACAGGAAAUGGUCAAAUGGUUAAAAGUUAUCACUCCCAGGGCCAGGGAAGGGCAGGGAACAGCAACAAGAAGCUUAGCAUGUCAGAGUGAGGGUGCCUUUCAUGUCGCAUGACUCCACGGCUUCUCCAGGCGUGGUGCACGGAGCACCCGCAGCAGACCUGGCGGAAUCUAACACGCAGAUUCCCGGGCCCAAGCCCAGGGCUACGGGUUCAGAGUCUUUGGGAGGUGGGGCAGGCAGGAAUCUGCAUUGUCGGAGAGUUUGGGGCAUUUCUGAGAAGUUUGCAGUUGGGGACUCCUGCCUGCCUACUCGAUGCUUUCUCACAACGGGCCACACACAGCCGCACAAAGCAGCCUGUUUCCGGGCUCCGACUGCGGCCGUUGGAAGGUUUAUUCUAUGGGCGCGGCUCUGCCUCCCUGAGGCUGCACUCUCGGUCUUGCCUCUUCGCAAUGACGGAAUCCUUUUAACCCUCUUCUACAGGCGACCUCGCAGUCUUCAAGUACCUGUGGCAUCCUCGCCGUCUAAGCCCCGCUUCGAGUGGCUCACCCUCCUUACUAGGCUGUCUCUGUUCCUUCCGCUCGUCCUCCAGGGCCACCAGCACGCCGGGAGGAUGGACGAGAUUCUUCAAGAUUCAUAG